rnacentral:misc_RNA from 1 species
GAUGAAGAACGCAGCGAAAUGCGAUAAGUAAUGCGAAUUGCAGAAUUUCCGUGAGUCAUCGAAUCUUUGAACGCACAUUGCGCCCUUUGGUAUUCCGAAGGGCAUGCCUGUUCGAGCGUCAUUUCAACCAUCAAGCCUCCCGGGGCUUGCGUUGGGGUUCCUGCGGCCGCCCGCAGGCCCCGAAAUGCAGUGGCGGGCUCGCUGUCACACCGAGCGCAGUAGCGUACCUCUCGCUCCGGGCGUGGCGGCGGGCGCCGGCCGUGAAACCCCCUACAUCAAAAAGGUUGACCUCGGAUCAGGUAGGAAUACCCGCUGAACUUAAGCAUAUCAAUAAGCGGAGGA